rnacentral:tRNA from 1 species
GGAGUUGUAGCUCAGUGGUAGAGCAUUUGCCUUGCAAGUAAGAGACAACUGGGUUUGAUCCUAGCACCA